GCGGAUGUGGUGGAACUGGCAAACACGCUAGACUUAGGAUCUAGUGGGGGGGUCAAAUUCCUUCAUCCGCACCA
rnacentral:tRNA from 1 species